rnacentral:tRNA from 1 species
UGUCCAGGAAUGGGAAUCGAACCCACAAUGUUCCGCUUACCGGGCAGAUGCCAUGUCCACUAGGCUACUGCCGUGGAC